GACUCCAUCUCACCGCCUUGACCUGCUGACUGAUGCCCUUUUACAUUAUGGAUGGAGGAAAUCAACUGACCUGGAGGUGCAGCUCCUGCAAAGAUUAGACAGAGCAGAGAAAAUAUCAAUUCUCGCUCAAGAAGACAUCUCAUCUGUCAUCAGAGAGGCACCAGUGUUGGUUUCUGAGCGAGACAUGGAGAGAUGGAAGAAAAGGGAGAUGGAACUAGAACCAACAGAAA